GAUCUUUUUCACAAUGUAUUUACAAACAACAUCUAUAUUAUACUUUAGCUGGGCUGAAAUUGGGACUACGGUGCACUUGUAUUUCCAAUU